rnacentral:rRNA from 1 species
GGGGGAUAAAUUAAUAAAGUAUAAAAUAAUAAAAAAAUUUUUAAUAUUAAAUAACUUAAUGGGGGUUAAAGUAUAUUUAAUAGAAAAAAUAAUAAAAAUUUAUAGAAAAUUAGUAUUGUAAAAGAAAUUUGAAAUAUAUUGAAAAUAAAUUUAUUUAAAAGUAAAUUUAAUUUAUUGUAUCUUGUGUAUCAGAGUUUAUUAAUAAUAUUUUUUAUUUAAAAUUUUUCUCGAAUUUAAAAGAGAUAAUUAAUUAUUAAAGUUAAUGUUGUAUAAUUAUUUUAAAUAAUUAAUUUGAAAUGAGAUGUUAAUCGUUUUUGAAUAUAUCUAGUUUUUUUAGAAAAAAAUUUAAUUUUAAAUUUUAAAAGGUAUAAUUUUAAUUAAUUAAAAUUAUACUUUUAAAAUUAAAUAUUUUAAGGGAUAAGCUUUAAAAUAAAUUUUUAUAAUAAUUUUUAAUUGAAAAUUAAAAUUUUUAAAAUUUAUAUUGUUUAUAAAUUAUAAUUUUUUAUAAAUAAUUUUAGUUAAUUUAAAAUUUAAAAUUUAUUUAAUUUUUUAUAAAAAAAUAAUUUAAAAUAAUUUAGAUUUAGGUAUAAUGAUAAAAUUAGUAUAUAAUUAAAUUAAAAUAAUUUAUUAUCUGUUAAUUUAAUAAAAGGAAUUCGGCAAAAAUUUAUAUUCACUUGUUUAUCAAAAACAUGUCUUUUUGAAUUAAUAAUUUAAAGUCUAAUCUGCCCACUGAUUGUUAAUUAAAGGGCUGCAGUAUUUUGACUGUACAAAGGAAGCAUAAUCAUUAGUCUCUUAAUUGGUGACUUGUAUGAAAGAUUUGAUGAAAUAUAAACUGUCUCUUUAUAAUUUUUAGAAUUUAAUUUUUUAGUUAAAAAGCUAAAAUAUAUUUAAAAGACGAGAAGACCCUAUAGAGUUUAAUAUUUAAUUUAUAUUAAAAAUUUUUUAUAAAAUUUAUGAUUUUGAUAUACUUAAAUAUUUUGUUGGGGUGACAAAAAAAUUAAAAUAACUUUUUUUAUAAUUUUACAUUUAUAAAUGAAUAAAUGAUCCGUAAUUUACGAUUUUAAGAAAAAAUUAUCUUAGGGAUAACAGCGUAUUUUUUUUAGUUCAAAUAAGAAAAAAGUUUGCGACCUCGAUGUUGGAUUAAGAUAAAAUUUAAAUGCAAAAGUUUAAAAUUUUUGAUCUGUUCGAUCAUUAAAAUCUUACAUGAUCUGAGUUCAAACCGGUGUAAGCCAGGUUGGUUUCUAUCUUUAAAUUAAUAAAAUAUUUUAGUACGAAAGGAUUAAAUAUUUAAAAUAAUUUUAUGUUAUAUAAGAAUUUUAAUAAUAGGUAAUAAUAGUUAAUUUAAAUGUA